rnacentral:rRNA from 1 species
AGAGUUUGAUCCUGGCUCAGGAUGAACGCUAGCGGGAGGCUUAAUACAUGCAAGUCGAACGGUAACAAUUCGGUUGACGAGUGGCGAACGGGUGAGUAACGCGUACGCAACCUACCUUCAAGAGUGGAAUAGCCCCGGGAAACUGGGAUUAAUACCGCAUAGUAUUUACGAAGCGAGUGCUUUGUAAAUUAAAGUUCAGGCGCUUGAAGAUGGGCGUGCGUGCUAUUAGCUAGUUGGUGAGGUAACGGCUCACCAAGGCGAUGAUAGCUAGGGGGCGUGAGAGCGUGGCCCCCCACACGGGUACUGAGACACGGACCCGACUCCUACGGGAGGCAGCAGUAAGGAAUAUUGGGCAAUGGAGGCAACUCUGAUCCAGCCAUGCCGCGUGAGUGAAGAAGGCCUUCGGGUUGUAAAACUCUUUCAGUGGUGAAGAUGAUGACGGUAACCACAGAAGAAGCUCCGGCUAACUUCGUGCCAGCAGCCGCGGUAAUACGAAGGGGGCGAGCGUUGUUCGGAAUCACUGGGCUUAAAGCGUACGUAGGCGACUAUUCAAGUCAGAAGUGAAAUCCCGGGGCUUAACCCCGGAACUGCUUUUGAAACUAGAUAGCUAGAGUCCCGGAGAGGUUAGGGGAAUUCCGAGUGUAGAGGUGAAAUUCGCAGAUAUUCGGAGGAACACCAGUGGCGUAGGCGCCUAACUGGACGGGAACUGACGCUGAGGUACGAAAGCGUGGGGAGCAAACAGGAUUAGAUACCCUGGUAGUCCACGCCGUAAACUAUGUGUGCUAGUUGUUGGGAGUUCCGCUCUCAGUGACGGAGAGAAAUCAUUAAGCACACCGCCUGGGGAGUACGGUCGCAAGAUUAAAACUCAAAGGAAUUGACGG